UCGAGAAUCUUCGGCAAUGGGCGCAAGCCUGACCGAGCGACGCCGCGUGCGGGAUGAAGGCCUUCGGGUUGUAAACCGCUGUCAGAGAGGCGGAAAUGCUAUGGGGUACUCUCCAUAGUUUGACCUAAUCUCAGAGGAAGCGCAGGCUAAUUCCGUGCCAGCAGCCGCGGUAACACGGAAUGCGCAAACGUUAUUCGGUAUCACUGGGCUUGAAGGGUCCGUAGGCGGCCUGGUAGGUGGGGUGUGAAAUCCCUCGGCUCAACCGAGGAAUUGCGCUUCAAACCACCAAGCUAGAGGGAGACAGGGGUGAGCGGAACAGAUGGUGGAGCGGUGAAAUGCGUUGAUAUCAUCUGGAACACCGGUGGCGAAGGCGGCUCACUGGGUCUCUUCUGACGCUGAGGGACGAAAGCUAGGGGAGCGAACGGGAUUAGAUACCCCCGUAGUCC
rnacentral:rRNA from 1 species